UGUCAAUGAUGGGAACAAGAUGGCUAAUGCUGUCAUGAAACUUUUGACUUUUGAGAGGCCUUGUCUAUGCUUGUUUGCUGUCAGAGAUAUUCAAGAGAAAGAAGAAAUACUGUAUAACUAUGGAGAUACUCAGAAUCUCUGGUGGAGAAAUAAGAUUUGGAAUUUCAACUACCCUAUCCAUCAUGUCUGUCAGACAUUGUUGAAGAUUCCAACAUAUCUGAAAUAGUGCCACUCCAGUGUCCAAUCUCAUCAAUCAGACAUUUGCAUUCUGAGACAGCUCAUGGCUGUACAGGUGAAGAUCUUAGGAAACUAAAAGCAUACAUAUCAGCAGAUAUUUCAUGCAUUCUGCAGAACUAUACACUUAAGAGUUAUGUUUGGCUUAGAAGUCUUGUCGUUGCAAGACUUACACUAUUCAAUGCAAGAAGAGGUGAGGAAGCAUCAAGGAUGCUUACAAACGAAUGGGAAGAUGCAAAGAAAGGUGUUUGGAUUCAAGAGGAUGAAGUAGAAAAAAUUUCUGAUCCAGCAGAACAAUAUCUUGUAGACAAUUUCAAGAUGGCCUACUUGAAAGGAAAGGGCAGAAAAUAUGUACCUGUGCUGAUUCCUGUUGACCUUAUCCAAGCAAUAGACAGGAUAAGCAAUG